AGAGGGGUGGGGCAGCAACUGCCAGAUGCUCCUGCUGACCAAGCUGAGGCCACAGGGAGCAGGCUGGUGGGUGCCCUGGGCUGCCCGGCCUGAGCGACUCCCCUCCCCUCACAUGCAGGACUCUGCACCGGCUAUGAAAGAUUUAACCUCCAUCACCCCUGUUCCUCUCCUCCACACUGCCGGGUGUGGCCUGGGACUCCUCUGACUCCUCCAGGCAGCCCACCAGGCUGGAUGGGGGUCCAGUUUCUUUCCAGAGAAGCCAGACUGAGCCCGGCAGGACAGCUGAUGCUCAGUGCACACCGAGAGCGCCGGGAUUAAACAGUAACCAUAGAGAAGACCUCCAGGGCGGUGGGGCGCAUGGAUCAGGAGAAACAGAACUGGGACAGAAGUGGGCUCCUGGUCCCCACUCCCUCUGCUGCAUUUUUUUUCUGAGUGAGCCGCACCAGGAAGCUUCCGCUGGAGACCAAGCUGCACCCACUGUCCUCCUACCCAGGGUUUUCAGAUCUGUCAG
rnacentral:lncRNA from 1 species